AUUCUCUCUUUUUCCCUUGUAUACUUGCACAUGCACAGUAGCAGAUAGGCUACACAAUUCAAGCUCACACAUACACACCAACGCCAUGUCGGACUCUGAGACUGCAGCUUCUACCGAGACCCCCGUCCCAGCACCCUGUGUGGCCAUCAAGGCAGAUUUGGACAAAUGUGUAAAGGAGAAGGGUGGGGAAGCGUGCAAGGAGCUGAUGGAGGCAUUUGCUGCCUGUGUGAAGAGCAAUGCUGAAGCGUCAUGAGGAGCUCAACAUGCAGAAAAGAGGUUUACUGAGUCCUCCACCUUCCCAGCAUUCCCUGCGGCUCAUGGCACUGGACUAAAUGAUUGAAAUGGGGUUUGACAGCAGAGACUAUUUGUGUCUCUUCCUUUCACUACCCCCUGUGUGAAGCUUGAAUGGAUUCCUCCAACCACCAAUCUACCUUCCCCUUUUAUGGCUGAUUGUAUUGAUCUGGUCUGUAGACCGUUUAAGAGAUGUAAAUUGUGUCUCAGAUGCUUACAAAAUGGAAUAAAGAUUUUAAAGUGGUUCGACA